rnacentral:rRNA from 1 species
UGGGGAAUAUUGGACAAUGGGCGAAAGCCUGAUCCAGCCAUGCCGCGUGUGUGAAGAAGGUCUUCGGAUUGUAAAGCACUUUACGUUGGGAGGAAGGGCAGUAAGCGAAUACCUUGCUGUUUUGACGUUACCGACAGAAUAAGCACCGGCUAACUCUGUGCCAGCAGCCGCGGUAAUACAGAGGGUGCAAGCAUUAAUCGGAAUUACUGGGCGUAAAGCGCGCGUAGGUGGUUCGUUAAAUUGAAUGUGAAAGCCCCGGGCUCAACCUGGGAACUGCUUCCAAAACUGGCGAGCUGGAGUAGGGCAGAGGGUGGUGGAAUUUCCUGUGUAGCGGUGAAAUGCGUAGAUAUAGGAAGGAACACCAGUGGCGAAGGCGACCACCUGGGCUGAUACUGACACUGAGGUGCGAAAGCGUGGGGAGCAAACAGG